CAGAUCGAUCACAAAUUCACAAUUCACAGAUUUAAAAGCAGAGUAGGCAGAGCAUAUAACCAAGGCUAACAACAAAUUCACGCAAAAUUUUCGUCGAAACCGUGCAAAUUAAAACUCAACCUUGUUGAUGAACGUAGUACAAGUUGACAAGCUCGGAUAGCUUGAGAUUCUUUCGACCGAACAAACCAAAAAACAGAACAGUUUGGUUGUCUGCUUCAAACAUGAUUAAGCCCAAUCGCCUCCCUAAUUAUUCUUCCUUUCUCGUUUCAUUUUCUAUCUAUCUCGAAUUCAUUCUCGAUUGUAAUGAGAAAAAAUCUGCGAGGAACAAACAAAUACAUCAGCUGCCAAGCCGGAGAGCAUCUCAGCGCAUCCGACGCUUCUGCACGGGCUUGCGGUCCUCGUCGUCGGAGCCGGAGCCGGACACCUCGCCGUCGUCGUCGUCGAAGUCCUCGAGAUCCUCGUCGUCGAAGUCGCCGUCGAACUCCCCGUCGCUCCCCAUGGCCUCGAACUCAUCAUCCUCAUCCUCCUCGUCCUCGCUCACCGCCUUCGCCUUCCGCGCGUACCCUN
rnacentral:lncRNA from 1 species